GUAGGCUCUAUGCUCCAGUUCCACAGGAAAAUGGCAAGAUUUGCCAUACACAAACCAAUAAAGUGUGGUUCUUAUUGGGGUUUUGAAGGCUGUCCUAUAAGCCCAUAAGGCAUCAUCUAGCUUUAAUGACCAGUUCUUCCUAGAACUACUAACAAUCUUCUCCAAAAUUUGUUUCAACUCCCUAUUUGAAAGCUCAACCUGCCCAUUGGUUUGGGAAUGGUAAGGUGUGGCUAUCUUGCGCUUAACCCCAUAUUUGCUCAAAAG
rnacentral:misc_RNA from 1 species